AUGCGAAUAUUCUCGCUGGCUUGAUUUUAAUUUCUAGUCAAGUCAGGCUAGUAAUUCGCUAGAUUAACGCUGUGCUUAUUGUCAACGGGACUAGUUUUACGAAGUUCUGUUGUAAUAUUUGCCCGCAACAACU